AGUAACGGCGAGUGAAGCGGUAACAGCUCAAAUUUGAAAUCUGGCCUCUCGGGGUCCGAGUUGUAAUUUGUAGAGGAUGUUUUGGGUACCGCCCCGGUCUAAAUUUCUUGGAACAGAAUGUCAAAGAGGGUGAGAAUCCCGUCUUGGACCGGCGGUAGGGCCUGUGUAAAACUCCUUCGACGAGUCGAGUUGUUUGGGA
rnacentral:rRNA from 1 species